rnacentral:rRNA from 1 species
GACGAACGCUGGCGGCGUGCUUAACACAUGCAAGUCGAACGGAAAGGCCCCCUUGUGGGGUACUCGAGUGGCGAACGGGUGAGUAACACGUGAGUAACCUACCCUUGACUUUGGGAUAACUUCAGGAAACUGGGGCUAAUACCGGAUAGGAGCUCCUGCUGCAUGGUGGGGGUUGGAAAGUUUCGGCGGUUGGGGAUGGACUCGCGGCUUAUCAGCUUGUUGGUGGGGUAGUGGCUCACCAAGGCUUUGACGGGUAGCCGGCCUGAGAGGGUGACCGGCCACAUUGGGACUGAGAUACGGCCCAGGCUCCUACGGGAGGCAGCAGUGGGGAAUAUUGCACAAUGGGCGGAAGCCUGAUGCAGCAACGCCGCGUGCGGGAUGACGGCCUUCGGGUUGUAAACCGCUUUCGCCUGUGACGAAGCGUGAGUGACGGUAAUGGGUAAAGAAGCACCGGCUAACUACGUG